GGUUUCCACACAUGAGAACAUGUUCUCAUUUCAAGAGGGUACUAUACAUAACCGAAAUGGCAACAACACCGGUCAUUCGAACACCUCUGCUGGGAGCUCAAGAACUGUGUUUACCCGUGUCUGGCCGACACAAGUGAUCCCACCAAAGCCACUGGAGUCCAUAACUGGCAACAAUAGCCGCCCAGUGCUAUCAUUCAUGCAACAACCAAGGGCAGAAGACUAUUACUCCAUGCCUAAUACUAGUAACCUCUUAGAGCUAUCUCUUAUGCCUCAACAACUAAUGCCAACAUACUCCAUGCCUCUCAUCAAUGAGUCAGUGCUAUCUCUUGCAUCUCAUCAUAGGCCAGAAGACUACAUUUCUAUCAAGCCUACCAUUAACCUCACAGGCCAAUCUCAUGUGCCAGAACACUCUAUGUACUCUGGUAUUAAUAGUCACUCAGGUUUAUCUCUUAUGCCUCAUCUAGAGCUCGGAGGGUCCUCUAAUCCUAGAAACAGCGUCUCCGGGAAAUCUGUUUUUUCGUCACAAGAUGCAAUGCUCUCAAAUUGGGAUCAACCAGACACCUUGUUUGGUUUAGGCACCCCAUAUGAACAUGGGGACUUUGACGCCUUGAUGAGUGGUUCAAGUUCAACACAAUAUUUUAACAAUACUCCUUACCCAAUUGAGGCAAGUUAUGAACAAGUGCUGCAACAUGCCCCAUCAUCAUACACUCCACCACCAACCUUUUUUGACAGUCCAAUGCAUCUCAUUCGUGAGCCGAACCAGCAGAGCCUAUUUCAUCAGCCAGAACCAGAGAUAUCAUUAGAUCAUGGAAUGCCCUUGGGCAGUGCAUUGAAUUACAAUGAAGAAGGUGCUGCUCUUGUAGACCAGCCACAAGAGGUUACUCGCAAGCUUCUUCCGGACUGAUCAGCAGACUGAUUUGGCUCGUAAGCUCGAAGAUUGUUAGAUAAUUGCAAACUGAAAGACUAAUGGUUUCUGUAAAACUUAUAUAUUUCUGCAUCUUGGAGUCUGAAUUUGAUAAGUUAGUUAGAAUAAUCUCUAUGAUGGUUGAGUUUGGAACUAUUUCUGUUUGCUUAGGCAAAACUAGAACAAAUUACUUCUUUAAAUUUGCUCAACUGUGCCAUCUAAUGCUACAAGCUUAGAACAUAUUGGAUGGAAUAAAUGGAGGUUUUAUAUGUAUGCUAUAUUUAACAUUGAAAUUUCAUGGAUGCCCACACUAGCGAUUGGAUGAGAUUUUCUUUUUCCUUGGCAAAGUUAUUGUUUGACUGGACUAGAGAGGCAUAACAGCACAAGUGAGACAUCACGUCUUAAACCAAAACUUUAGCCAUCAGUUUCAUGAGUUUUUCCCACUUAUAAAACUUUUUCAUUCAUCUCCUUAUAUCCAAUGUGAAACUUCACACUUGAAUAAAUCCAAAGUUAUCCUCCACAAGAGGAGAAGAUCUUGUUCUAGCUCAAGACAUCCAUAGUGAAACUAACUCUUUUAGUAAGAUUUUUCCAUACACAAGACUUAGCCUUAGAUCCUUACUUGAGGUGAUUCAUAUACCACUUCAACCAACCAUCAGUUCAGUUGAUGAUUUGGAUGAGAUUCAAAGGCUACCCCAUUAAUAUAUAUCAGACCAUGGAUUCUCUAGAAUUUGAAUCCUCUUAUGUUUUUGAAUAAUGGAAUUAGAUUGAAGAUAUUCCCUUUAUUGAAUACCCCUUUAGCUUGGCCUGAAGAAAAUAUCAGAACAUAUAUCCCUUUAUUGAACAUCAACUGAAGAUCACCGUGUUAUAUGUCACCCUUUCUCUCAAUAUUAUAUGGGAGAUGAAGGUGCCAAGAAGAUAAAAAGGAUGUCGGAUAUGGAAAAAUUCCUUCUCACCAAAUGUUGAGAGAAAGUUGAGUAAAAAUAGUUGAAUUGUAUGACAUGAUCAAUAUGAUCUUUGAAAACUGUUAAUUUUUUGUGGAUAUUCUUUUUUAUUUUAAAAGAGAGAAAGAAGAAAAAAUUAAUUUCUUUUUCCUUUCACUCAUAUUAAACAAUAUAAAAAUUCACAAUUUUUCUCACCUCUUUCUCUUAAUAAUCGCUCACGUGUUUCUUUCUUCUAAAUUUCUUUCCUCAACCAAACAAAUUAUUAAGGUUUUGAUUCAAAAUAUGGUAUCUCACUUAUAACUCUUUACCAUUCUCAAAUCUGAUAACAAUGUGACUCAAUUAUUGUUGAAGAUUCAUCGGUCAUAGAUAAGUCCAACAAGUACUAUCAUAGCCAAUUAUUGGAUGGAGACAUAAUUCAAAUUAAAGAAAAAGGAAAUCAAGAAGAAGCAUAAUUCUUUUGUUGAAGAAGAAAUCUAAGAAAGUGAAUAAAAGAAUGAAGAACAAAAGAUUAAGAGAAUGGAAAUUACAUGAAUACUUUUAUUAGAAUUGAAUUGAAUUCAAUACAAACUUGAUUCUUCUAAUUUAUAGCUAGAAAAAUCCUUAACAACUUAACUAACAAACCAAGUAACAUAACUAACACAUUUUGCACGUGUUAAAUAUGACAAAAUACAUAAAUCAAAUGAUGACUUGGGCUGCAAGUAAUAGAAAGCCCAUUGAUCUUAUGCCUUGAAUUAUGACCGCAGUGUUUAGUUGAUGUUUGGCCUAGACCUUGACUAGGUGUGUGACCUCAUGCGUGUGUGACUCAUGUGUGACCUUGGCAUGAGAUAUGUCUUGAAUUGUCUGAUUCAUGUGUGAGCCUUUAAAAAACACAAUUAUCAAAAAGAGGAUGAACUAGUGAAAAUUCUCUUUGUAGUCCAUAAAUUUGAAAAUAAGAUAAAAGGAUUUCAUCUCAUCCCAAGAAUAAUGAAACCAAAUCCAAAUUUUACUUGUGCCCAGUUUCACAUUGCAUAUAGGCGUUUGUUUUAUUUUUUACCACUUUACUAAGUAUCUCAAUUUCUGGUAGUAAACUAUGAACACUUACUAUUGGUAAUGCAUAUUGGCAUUGCAGUUGAUCGCAGACGCCAGUAACUAUCGAGCUAGCCUGCUGCGGUUCGUAGAAGAUUUAGGACCAGUUGCUAAAAGGGUUGCAGCACAAAAGCUACAAUCCUUAAACCUCAUUGAUAAUGUUCCAGGCACUGAGAUCCUUCACCCAACUGCUUCUCCACAUUCACCAACAAAGUUGGACACUCCCAACAAUACUGAAGGGCUUCCUCUUGCUCUUUCCUUAGCCAAUAAUACUCCGAAAAUUCUUCAUGCUUCGGCUGAUCAUGAAAACAGAAAUGAUAACAACACCAUUGCUGUUGGUGUUAACAUUAAUGAUGGUGCAGAUAAUAGCUGGAGUGCUCGUGCCGCUGCCAUUUUGGGCAACAUCUUUAUUAACAAUGACAAAGGGAAAAGUCUCUAUGGGUAUGAGAAUUCUAAUGCAGUAGGAACCAUGGGCAAUUGGGGUCCUUCCAAGGGCAAAAUGGUUUCCACACAUGAGAACAUGUUCUCAUUUCAAGAGGGUACUAUACAUAACCGAAAUGGCAACAACACCGGUCAUUCGAACACCUCUGCUGGGAGCUCAAGAACUGUGUUUACCCGUGUCUGGCCGACACAAGUGAUCCCACCAAAGCCACUGGAGUCCAUAACUGGCAACAAUAGCCGCCCAGUGCUAUCAUUCAUGCAACAACCAAGGGCAGAAGACUAUUACUCCAUGCCUAAUACUAGUAACCUCUUAGAGCUAUCUCUUAUGCCUCAACAACUAAUGCCAACAUACUCCAUGCCUCUCAUCAAUGAGUCAGUGCUAUCUCUUGCAUCUCAUCAUAGGCCAGAAGACUACAUUUCUAUCAAGCCUACCAUUAACCUCACAGGCCAAUCUCAUGUGCCAGAACACUCUAUGUACUCUGGUAUUAAUAGUCACUCAGGUUUAUCUCUUAUGCCUCAUCUAGAGCUCGGAGGGUCCUCUAAUCCUAGAAACAGCGUCUCCGGGAAAUCUGUUUUUUCGUCACAAGAUGCAAUGCUCUCAAAUUGGGAUCAACCAGACACCUUGUUUGGUUUAGGCACCCCAUAUGAACAUGGGGACUUUGACGCCUUGAUGAGUGGUUCAAGUUCAACACAAUAUUUUAACAAUACUCCUUACCCAAUUGAGGCAAGUUAUGAACAAGUGCUGCAACAUGCCCCAUCAUCAUACACUCCACCACCAACCUUUUUUGACAGUCCAAUGCAUCUCAUUCGUGAGCCGAACCAGCAGAGCCUAUUUCAUCAGCCAGAACCAGAGAUAUCAUUAGAUCAUGGAAUGCCCUUGGGCAGUGCAUUGAAUUACAAUGAAGAAGGUGCUGCUCUUGUAGACCAGCCACAAGAGGUUACUCGCAAG
rnacentral:lncRNA from 1 species